rnacentral:rRNA from 1 species
AUUGAACGCUGGCGGCAGGCCUAACACAUGCAAGUCGAACGGUAACAGAAAGCAGCUUGCUGCUUUGCUGACGAGUGGCGGACGGGUGAGUAAUGUCUGGGAAACUGCCUGAUGGAGGGGGAUAACUACUGGAAACGGUAGCUAAUACCGCAUAACGUCGCAAGACCAAAGAGGGGGACCUUCGGGCCUCUUGCCAUCGGAUGUGCCCAGAUGGGAUUAGCUUGUUGGUGGGGUAACGGCUCACCAAGGCGACGAUCCCUAGCUGGUCUGAGAGGAUGACCAGCCACACUGGAACCGAGACACGGUCCAGACUCCUACGGGAGGCAGCAGUGGGGAAUAUUGCACAAUGGGCGCAAGCCUGAUGCAGCCAUGCCGCGUGUAUGAAGAAGGCCUUCGGGUUGUAAAGUACUUUCAGCGGGGAGGAAGGGAGUAAAGUUAAUACCUUUGCUCAUUGACGUUACCCGCAGAAGAAGCACCGGCUAACUCCGUG